UAUACUUUAAAAAUAAAAAAAAAAAUAAAAAAAGUUAAAAGGAAGACAACUGGUAGAGAUAUCCCCUGGAUAACAUAGCAUUUGUAUCAGACAGAUUUCCACAAUUUUAUUUUGUCAGUAAUCUGUGUUAUAAGUGGGAAGACAAAACAGAUAAACUAAAUAUUUUAUUUCAAAAAUAUCAAAGGUUAAGGUGUUCAAAAGUGUGAGUCAGUGGGAAUUUCAGAUACUCAACAUUAACACAUUUCAUUAAUUAAUAUUGAACGAGGGAUUAUUUUUAACCAUUUCGUAGGUUUGUCUGUUCCUGACCUUUCAUGAGAACUUUUAAGUUACCUGUAAUGUUCUGUAAACCUUAUGUAUAUUAUCACUCAAGAACUGAAUUUUAUUCAGGUCUAUAAUAGAAAAGUCUAUAUAACCUAUUUUCUGACAAAUUUCCAAACUUUGUUAUGCCUAUUUUACAGUUAGGAUUCAAAUUCCAAGUACACACGAAUUGUUAUCAAUUUUAAAUUUUCAGGUGUCUGUACAAGCUUCUUACAAAUAAGGUUUAUUCUCCUGCUAAACUCUUGGAGAAAAUUUCAUAGCAUAUGUAGUUAUGCUAACACAAAGAAAGAUAGUAACAGGUAGAUACAUCUAUGUGUAUGUAGAUACAUAAAAUUAUGAGUGAAUUUCCUUAAUGUGAAGUGAAUAUAGAAUAACCCUUUUUUUUUUUUUUUUCUUUUUCAUUUUUUUUUUUUUUUUUUUUUUUUUUUUUUUUUUUUUUUUUUUUUUUUUUAAAAUGGAUGUGGACAAAUAUCAGCAAAUAUGAUUGGAUGCAACAGUGCCAUCAACAGUCAACCAACUGCUACACAGGAAUUCUGUCUGGGGGAGAGCAAGGAGAGAAGAUAGAAAGGUUCUGAACAGUACAGCUGUCACUGCUGUCAGUAUUACUUGAGCUGCCACUGUGAUAACCUGAACUCCCAACACCACUGCAUGAUUCACUAUGCUGUUUGAUCCUUGGAAACCCUGAUGAUGUUCAGUGACUUCAAAGCUUCUACUGUAGUUGCAUAUGUGAAAAGUUAUCAUCUAGUGUAACUAACACAAGGGUAGUGAAAGUCAUUAACCCUUUUGUGGCAGAUGAAAUUCCAACUUUG
rnacentral:lncRNA from 1 species